GAUGAACGCUGGCGGCGUGCCUAAUACAUGCAAGUCGAGCGAACAGACGAGGAGCUUGCUCCUCUGACGUUAGCGGCGGACGGGUGAGUAACACGUGGAUACCUACCUAUAAGACUGGGAUAACUUCGGGAAACCGGAGCUAAUACCGGAUAAUAUAUUGAACCGCCUGGUUCAAUAGUGAAAGACGGUUUUGCUGUCACUUAUAGAUGGAUCCGCGCCGCAUUAGCUAGUUGGUAAGGUAACGGCUUACCAAGGCAACGAUGCGUAGCCGACCUGAGAGGGUGAUCGGCCACACUGGAACUGAGACACGGUCCAGACUCCUACGGGAGGCAGCAGUAGGGAAUCUUCCGCAAUGGGCGAAAGCCUGACGGAGCAACGCCGCGUGAGUGAUGAAGGUCUUCGGAUCGUAAAACUCUGUUAUUAGGGAAGAACAAAUGUGUAAGUAACUAUGCACGUCUUGACGGUACCUAAUCAGAAAGCCACGGCUAACUACGUG
rnacentral:rRNA from 1 species